AGGGAAACAAGUCAUCAAUUAUGUGAAAAAUAGCGUCACUCCCACAGCAACCAUCACGUUCCAAGAGACGUAUCUAGAUACAAAGCCAGCACCAGUUGUUGCUGCAUCCUCAGCACGAGGCCCCUCCAGAAGUUACUUGGGAAUUUCAAAGCCAGAUAUAUUGGCACCAGGGGUGCUGAUUCUUGCAGCAUAUCCACCAAAUGUAUUUGCUACAAGUAUUGGGACAAACAUACUAUUGUCCACUGAUUACAUUCUUGAAUCAGGUACAUCCAUGGCUGCACCACAUGCUGCUGGAAUUGCAGCAAUGCUAAAA
rnacentral:misc_RNA from 1 species